rnacentral:rRNA from 1 species
AAUUCUUUUCCCCAACUAGACCGCGGACGGCUGGGGCAUGGGGGUGGGGCACCGGCGUCUGGGAGAUUGGCUGCUGGCGCCGUGGCUUGCCGGCGUGGGGGACUGGGGGCGACCGCUGGCGGGUGGCCGGACCUGGGAUUGGUCGGCUCCUUCCUCCUCCGCUCAGGUUCAUCCACAGAUCCACUUAUGCCUCGGCUAUGGCUGUCCGCUACAGCAUCAGGCUCCGUCAACGUCGCGCAGUGCCUCGGUGAGUCGUGUGAGCAGACUGUCCUCCCUGUAUCUAUCUCAAUCUCUCCCCUAUCGAAAAUUUGGAAAGUUGAAAUAUUGUGACCUCCGUAGCUUUGUAGUGGAGGAAAAAUUCUAAUUAGAUGUGGUCUUUUCAUCUGGUCAUUGUUGGAGAUGCAGCUCCCUGUAUAAUUUUCUGCAUCUCCCAGAUUAUGUAGCUUUGUUACCUUAGUGGAGGAACCUUUGGUGAGAAAGAAAAAUUAGUGGUCAUCUCGUCAUUGAUUUUGUAAAUUAGAUUUUGUCAAUUGGAUUUUGUACUGGAAUAGAAAAUGUCCUUUAAAGAUUAAGAGGGACCGAGGGAGGCAGUGAUGCUUAAGGGAAAACAAUUGAUGCAUUUUUGAAAAGAAAGCGAGGUGAUUCAACUGAAUGUGAAGCUGAUGAACCAACAACAAUGAAAGUAAUUCCUGUUCAGCCUCCUCUGUUGUUGCUUGAAUUUGAGCAACACGGACAACAUCCUUCGAUGCCUCAACAACAAGGCCAUGAAACUCAAACAAAUGAAGUCCAAUUCCGAGGGAUUGAAUUCUUGCAGCGAGACCCAGCACUACGUCCACAGAUUCGCCCCUCCAAAGAUUUCUUUCAAGCUCCGCCACUGCUUGCGUCCUCGGUUAUGCGCAAUUUUGAGCAACUUCACAUGGAACUAUCAUGAAGGUCACACCACCACCAUUUCUUAACUAAAACUUGAUGGACUGAAGAAUAGACCUCUUCUAAGAAGCAUCUAAUUGUAGUGAUUUCCUUUGGGUUUGAGAGUAGGUCGUCUAGGGAGGUUGUGUGAUGUAGUAUGUCCAAUAUUAGAGUAGAUCCACCUAUUAUAAAAUUAAGGAAAAUCUACAUUUGCUUUCUGGAAAAGAAAAACGGGCCUACACUUCCCCGAUACAUGAUUAGGUAUGUUAUACAUUUCGGUGAAACCUGCCAUACAUUCAAUGUGUAAACCCUUGGGGCUACAACGUGUCAUAUUCCGGGUUUUCUCAAAGAUGAGUUAGUGAUGCGAAGUAGGUUUAAGAUGUUUGUACUUAGCUUAUGCCUGCGAGUGGAUGGACACCAUAGAGAUAUUAUUGUUUUCUGAUGUAUUCUAAUGUAAGCUAGCCUUGAGCUAAGCAGGUAUGUAUUGUAUUGGAGACUGGAUCUGCCAUUUAAUACUUCUAACACGUGAUUAUCUUGGUAUUUCAUCAUGUACUAUGC